UCGCAAGAAUAGAUUACACCAUCACUUGUAUGCCUUUGAGACCUCCACUAGGAUCACUCUAGAAAUCUUUUCUCAAAUGAUCUCACCACACAAAUAUCAGAUUAUAUAUUCAACACAUGAAUAAUCUGAUUUUAGGACAAGCAUCACAUGCUUUUCUUUUUCCUUCCUCACUUUCUUUCUAUUUUCUUUCUCUCUUUUUCUUGUCUUUAUCCCAAAUUUUUUAUCUCUUUUUCUCCUCAUUCUCACACCUAUCUACAGCCCAAAUUGGAUGUGGAACCUAGGUGUAGCACCCCCCUUUUAUAGGAAAGAUGGGC
rnacentral:lncRNA from 1 species